ACUGGAUGACUUCUAACAUUCUGCGAUGCCUAAUUUUGCAAAAUCACUUUUCAUUCACCCAGUAAAUUUUUUUCUUCUUUUUUCCAGGCAGUCUUGCUCUGUCUCUCAGGCAGGAAAUCACUUAAACCCAGGAGGUGGAGGUUGCAGUGAGCCAAGAGUCUGGUGCACUCCAGUCUGGGUGACAAGAGUGAAACUCCAUCUCAAAAAUAAAUAUAUAUCAACUACCAACUAAAAACAUAACUUCAGUUUGGCAGUUUGCAUAUUAUAAGGAGAUAAAUGUUUAAACAUACUUGACUACUUUCAGAAAUGUUCUCCUGGUACUUUUUGUGAGUAUUUCUACAUUCAGAUCAAAAGAUUUGCAUGUACCUGGCUAACGCCAAGGAAACUAUUUUCUUCACUAUUAUGCACUUUCAUGGUAGUAUAGUCUUUCUCAGUUCUUUUACUUUUUGUUAUUUAACAUCUUUAAUAUAAUAGCACAGCAAACAUCUUUUCAGAAAUUUUCAGUUAAAGCCUUUGAAUUAUUUAUCUUUGGUUUAAUUUACAGCCAGCAUUUUGCCACAUUCUAAAUAAUAUUUAGCUGAACUGCUUCAUGCGUAUUAAUGACCAUUCUAGCAAAGGCCUACAAGUGGUGUGGGAAUCAGGGAAAGGCUGCCUCUUUGGUAUUUCAACUGGUAUUGAUUAUUGCUAUCAACUAUUUGGGGAGAAAAAAUCAAAAUGAAGCCCUGUCAAAUUUUAUAAGUACUAUCUUUGGUCCUUCAAACACUUGAACAUUUGUGAUGACACCUUAAGAAAAAUGAAGUUCAGGUCUUACCAUUGCCAUUAAAAACAAAUUAGGAGACGUGGUUUACCUGGGAACAAAUUUACUUGAAUAUUCAGUACCUGAAACCAUGCCAAACCAAAGAGCAGCUGCAGUACAUUAGUUAUUUUAAAUGAACAAGUUUACAAAGUUUAUUUUCAUCUAUACAUAAGGAUGAUUUUUUAAAAAACUUUUUACAUAUUAGUGGUUAUGAUCCAAUGUGUCAUGAGUGAAUUUAACUGUAAGGUGGUUUAAAUCAAAUAUGCAAUGUUUACUUGAAUUGUAUUUCUAUUAGCAGAUUUUGACUAUGUUUACAGGACUGUUUAAAUUAAGGAUUAUCAGGCAUGUGAGAUCGCCUUUCAGUUAUCUUUAAAACAGAUGUAUAUUAAGGGCUUAGAGUUAGGCUCUACAUAUUCUGGGCAGUGAAUAGGCAGUAACUUACAAAUAAGUUUUGCUUACCUUUUGUUUUAGGGACUAGCACUGCUAUCAAUGGAAAGUAUUUUUAACUAAUCUGUUAUUAAGAAAGUCAUAUUUUUGCAUUUCAGCCAAAAUAAAGACCAUCUCUGAUAAUCUGUUAGAAACAGAUAAUACAUGUCUGAAAUCCAUAUGUUUCAUAUGAUCUAAACUGUAUUUUCCAAUUUAAAUUAAAAUGUAAUAUAGAUUCAGAAAGGUUCAUAUUUUUCUAAUGACUUCAUUCUAUAUUAUUUUGUUAGGUUGCAUAAAGAAGCAAGGAAUUGCACUUGUAUUAAAAGAUGAAGAAAGCUAUUAGGUAUAUUUGUACAUGACUGCAAAUGAGUCUAUGCCUGUUUAAAAGAAAAGAUGGACACUAUUUUAAAGUGAGCUUUAAUAUGCUUUUAUAUAAACAAAUUUGAAGUACAGUUUAGUUUGGUUGUGUUUACCUAACAAGUACUAUAAGCCGUGUAUUUGUUCUUAUUUGUAUAAUCCUAGCCUGUGACUUAAUGUUGACGCUUUGCUUUGUCUUUUGGCUGGCCUAACCUACAUUGACAUGUACGCAGAACAUUUUACAACUUUUUUUUUCCAAAAGUCAUAAUGAAUUACUUUAUUAAUAAACAAAUAAAGUCUUGUAUUUGAA